rnacentral:lncRNA from 1 species
CAACUAAAGAAUAAGAAGCAGGCAGAGACACAGAUGCUCCACGGCAGCCCUCCACGGACACCCAGCAAGCGGCGAGGUCUGGCACCCAGCACUCUGGGCAAAGUGCGCAAGGUUCUAAGCUCCCAGGAUUCCAUUAUCACUGAGAUGCUAAGAGUGAACAGAUGUAAAGUGUCAAAAGCUAAAUGAGAAAAAGAAGAGAACGGUCAUUCGGAGCCCCAGCAAGUAUCAUGGAACGCCCUGGAAUGUGCCCAGGAAACUAGAGUCACCGGAGGCUCACUUCAAAAGCUGGUCUUCAGUUGCGGCUGAGCAAAGUCCCGGCCUGCGGGUUCCAGCCCGUUGACACUGGAUCACGAAACACAAAUAGGUGUCAUUACUUCUACCAGUUUGAGGAGAAAAACACCCGCUGGUGUCAAGCCUGGAACCAAUGAGAAGAACCUGGAGCUCAUUGGCAGCAUCCUCAGUGGCACUGUUUGCACUACUGGAAGCAAAAGCACAGAGGAAUCAACACCAUCUUCAACUGGUGGGACAGGUUUGUUUGUUUGUUUGUUUAGGGCUGCUCUUGUGGCACGUAAGGCAUAUGGAAGUUCCCAGGCUAGGGGUUGAAUCAGACCUGCAGCUGCCAGCCUACACCACAGCCACAGCAACUCAGGAUCUGAGCCGCCUCUGCAACCUGUUACACCACAGCUCACUGUGACGCCAGAUCCUUGAUCCACUGAGGGAGGCCUGAGAGGGAACCCACAUGAAUGUGAGAUCGUCGUAAACACCACGCCGAGAUGCGAACUCCUGGUGGCACAGGUCUGAGGCGGGUUCCACGUGGUUUCUCAGGACUGGGCUCGUUGACAGACCCCUUUCCGGCUCUUCCUUCCUUCCCACCUUCUCACUCUACUUCUUAGGGGCGCUCCCCUCAAAGCGUCCUAGACCCAAAUCUUGUUUCUCAUUUGGGAAGUUGAUAUUUGGAUCUUCAUCUGUCUGACUCUCACUUCCAUCUCUCAGUUGAUUCUGAACAGUUCCUAUUAUGAAAGAUAAGGAUUUGAUCCUAUCCCAUGCCCCCUCCUCCUCAUUCAAACAUAUGUACUUUUCCAACUUCAUGACUCACGUACAGUUCUAAAAUCCGUAUUAGAUUAAAUUAGUGUUUAUUACCAAUAAUGAAAUCGGGGUUAGAUAUAUGUUAAUAGAUAUAAUAACGUAGAUAUUAGUAUAAUGGCCAUAAGCAUAAAUCUUAUCUGUUCUACAUGCAUCUUACACUACAUUUCCUUCCUGCCACAACCUUUUUUUUUUUUUUUUUUGUCAUAUGGAAGUUGCCAGGCUAAUCAGAGCUAUAGCUGCCAGUCUCCGCCACAGCCAGAGCAACACCAGAUCUAAGCCGCGUCUGUGACCUACACCACAGCUCAUGGCAACGCCGGAUCCUUAACCCACUGAGUGAGGCCAGGGAUGGAACCUGCAUCCUCAUGGAUACUAGUUGAUCCAUUAUAGAUGCGCCACCACGGGAACUCCAUGCCACAACUUUUUGGUAGAACCCCUCUGACAGGGUCCACACAUCUGACAAUUUAUCAGUUCUGUUUUUCCCUGGUAACGUUGCUUCUGCCUCCAGCUUCAUUCUGCAGCAGUUUUUGUCUGAGCUAUGCAGAACGAAAUUUCCUUUUGCUUUAGUUUGCUAAGUCAGUUACUACUCCGUGUAUGAUUUCUAGCAGGUG